rnacentral:rRNA from 1 species
UACGGGGGGGGCAAGCGUUUUUCGGAAUUACUGGGCGUAAAGGGCGCGUAGGCGGGUGGACAAGUCUCUCGUGAAAGCCCACGGCUCAACCGUGGAAUUGCGGGAGAUGCUGUCUGUCUUGAGUCCGGGAGAGGAGGGUGGAAUUCCCAGUGGAGCGGUGAAAUGCGUAGAUAUCUGGAGGAACACCCGUGGCGAAAGCGGCUCACUGGCGCGAAACUGACGCUGAGGCUCGAAAGCGUGGGGAGCGAACGGG